rnacentral:rRNA from 1 species
UACGGAGGGUGCAAACGUUGCUCGGAAUCAUUGGGCGUAAAGCGCACGUAGGCGGCCUGAUAAGUCGGGUGUGAAAUCCCCGGGCUCAACCCGGGAACUGCGUCCGAUACUGGCAGGCUUGAAUCCGGGAGAGGGAUGUGGAAUUCCAGGUGUAGCGGUGAAAUGCGUAGAUAUCUGGAGGAAUACCGGUGGCGAAGGCGGCAUCCUGGACCGACAUUGACGCUGAGGAGCGAAAGCUAGGGGGAGCAAACGGG